rnacentral:rRNA from 1 species
AUUGAACGCUGGCGGCAUGCCUUACACAUGCAAGUCGAACGGCAGCGGACCUUCGGGUGCCGGCGAGUGGCGAACGGGUGAGUAAUAUAUCGGAACGUACCUUUCAGUGGGGGAUAACGUAGCGAAAGUUACGCUAAUACCGCAUAUUCUGUGAGCAGGAAAGCAGGGGAGUCGCAAGACCUUGCGCUGAUUGAGCGGCCGAUAUCAGAUUAGCUAGUUGGUGAGGUAAAGGACUCACCAAGGCGACGAUCUGUAGCGGGUCGUGAGAGGAUGAUCCGCCACACUGGAACUGAGACACGGUCCAGACUCCUACGGGAGGCAGCAGUGGGGAAGUUUUGGUACAAUGGGCGCAAGCCUGAUCCAGCCAUGCCGCGUGAGUGAAGAAGGCCUCGGUUGUAAG